CUUUCUUUUUUCUCGUUCUUGCAAUUCCAGUUCUGAAUUGCCCUGAAGGCGCAAAGUGCAAAACCAUAUACGCUGACAAUGGUGUUGAGUUGGAUGCUAGAGGAAAAUGCAUGGUAGCUUUCCACUCUCUGGCUUUGCUAUCAAUGCUGGGUGCGACCAUUGUCUUUGGAAUGGCAAUCUGCAUGGACAACCUCAGAAAAAACAAAGCGGUUUUGAUAGUCGGAAUCAGCUUGGCUUCG